rnacentral:rRNA from 1 species
GGACGAACGCUGGCGGCGUGCUUAACACAUGCAAGUGGAGCGACGAACCGGGGCUUGCCCCGGGGCAGAGCCGCGAACGGGUGAGUAACACGUGGGUAACCUGCCUCAAUGAUUGGGACAACCCGGGGAAACUCGGGCUAAUACCAAAUGUGUUCACUCCUUCUAAGGGGAGUGAAGGUAAAGGAAGCUUCGGCCUCCGCAUUGAGAUGGGCCCGCGGCCCAUUAGCUUGUUGGUGAGGUAACGGCUCACCAAAGGGCUUCGAUGGGUAGCUGGUCUGAGAGGACGAUCAGCCACACUGGGACUUGAGACACGGCCCAGACUCCUACGGGAGGCAGCAGUGGGGAAUCUUGCACAAUGCGCGAAAGCGUGAUGCAGCGACGCCGCGUGGGGAAGACGGCCUACGGGUUGUAAACCCCUUUCAGUUGGGACGAAGCUUCGUCGGUGAAUAGCCGGUUGGAGUGACGGUACCUUCAGAAGAAGCCCCGGCUAACUACGUG